AGAAAUCAUUCUUAACAUUCGAGAAUGCUAAUUUUAAAAAUUCAACAUAGUGUUCUAAAAUUCGAAUACAUUAAAUUUUUAAACAGAUAAUUGUUAUGAGUAUACAGUUAAAUGGGUUAAAUAGGCAUUAAGAUUAUAAAUAACAUUAAGAAAGGAUUAUAUACAAAUCAUAAAUUAUAUAACGGAAAUAAAUUAAAUUAAAUAAUAAUACAGGUUAUGAAAUUAAAAUUAUUUAGAGGGUAAUAUGCUUGAACAUAAGUAAAAAGGUAAUAUAAAUAAAGUGCAAAUAAUAGUCCAAUGCCAUUAUCUCCAGCCACACAUUCCAUGUUCUCCUAUGGUCCUCUUCUUAACUUUGGGUUGUUUUGUUCUUGGGUCCUGGUAUUUCAACAAAUAUUUCCAGGGUUUGGGGACUGCUUCCACCUGCCUAUUGUUUAUAACGACUGCUUCAGAUUUGUCUCUAAAUAUUUCUAAGUUUUCUGUCAUGGACAGCUCUUCUACGUUGUUUACUUAUUUUAUUACUUUAGCCUCUUCCCAUCUUAUGUUUAAUGGUUAUAAGAAGUUUAAUGGUCUGCUCGUUGGUGCUUGGAUUAAAUUAGUUAUUAUAGUGUAG
rnacentral:lncRNA from 1 species